UUUUUGGAGGAAGGUUCGUCCGCUCCAAGUUAGUCGGGAGCUAAGGUGAGGCCGGAAGGCGUAGCCGAUGCACAGACGGUAGAGAUUCCGUCACCACCAAAAGAGUUAAGCACAGGGACACAUUUGAAGUCUCAGAGCCGGGUGUUGGUUCCGGUAGAGAUCGAGGGAAAUUAGUACCGAAGUCUGGGAUGGAAGAUGGCGAGAAAAGCUGUGUGUAUUUCUGAGGUGCCCGUACCGCAAACCGACACAGGUAGGUAGGAAGAAGAUUCUAAGGCCAACGGGAGAAGGGUUGUUAAGGAACUCGGCAAAUUGACCCCGUAACUUCGGGAGAAGGGGUGCUCCAGAGAUGGAGCCGCAGAGAAUCGGCCCAAGCAACUGUUUACCAAAAACACAGGUUUGUGCUAAAUCGAAAGAUGACGUAUACGAGCUGACGCCUGCCCGGUGCUGGAAGGUUAAGAGGAGAUGUGCAAGCAUUGAAUCGAAGCCCCAGUGAACGGCGGCCGUAACUAUAACGGUCCUAAGGUAGCGAAAUUCCUUGUCAGGUAAGUUCUGACCCGCAUGAAAGGCGUAAUGAUUUGGGCACUGUCUCAACAGCCCGCCCGGCGAAAUUGUAGUACCGGUGAAGAUGCCGGUUACCCGCGACAAGACGGAAAGACCCCAUGGAGCUUUACUGUAGCCUAAUAUUGGGUUUCGAUGUUGCAUGCACAGGAUAGAUGGGACACUGGGAAACAGGAGCUUUGGCUUCUGCGGAGUGGCCGUUGGGAUACCAUCCUUGCGAUAUUGGAAUUCUAACCUGCGGCUCUGAAUCGAGUCGGGGGACAUUGUUAGGUGGGCAGUUUGACUGGGGCGGUCGCCUCCUAAAAAGUAACGGAGGCGUUCAAAGGUUCGCUCAGCUUGAACGGAAAUCAAGCAAAAGAGUGCAAACGCAGAAGCGAGCCUAACUGCGAGACUGACGGGUCGAGCAGUAACGAAAGUUGGAGUUAGUGAUCCGGUGGUAUGUGAGUGGAAAUGCCAUCGCUCAACGGAUAAAAGUUACCCUGGGGAUAACAGGCUGAUCUCCCCCAAGAGUCCACAUCGACGGGGAGGUUUGGCACCUCGAUGUCGGCUCAUCGCAUCCUGGGGCUGUAUUCGGUCCCAAGGGUUUGGCUGUUCGCCAAUUAAAGCGGUACGCGAGCUGGGUUCAGAACGUCGUGAGACAGUUCGGUCCCUAUCUGUCGUGGGCGCAGGAUAUUUGAUGGGAGCUGUCCCUAGUACGAGAGGACCGGGACGGACGUACCUCUGGCGCACCAGUUGUUCCGCCAGGAGCAUAGCUGGGCAACUACGUACGGAUCGGAUAAACGCUGAAAGCAUCUAAGCGUGAAGCCGACCCAAAGAUAAGAUAUCCCAUUGUUUUAAACAAGUAAGACCCCUUGAAGACUACAAGGUUGAUAGGCACGAUGUGUAAGUGGAGCGAUCCAUUCAGCAAGCGUGUACUAAUAGGUCGAGGGCUUGACCA
rnacentral:rRNA from 1 species